UGGAGGGGAGCUUAUAUAUUUUGAAGUUGAUAUGACUGGCCAGUUGAUGGAAGUUGAGAAGCAUGAGAUGUCAGGUGAUGUAGCUUGUCUGGACAUUGCCCCUGUUCCUGAGGGAAGACAAAGGUCCCGUUUCCUUGCAGUUGGAUCAUAUGAUAACACUAUCCGUAUCUUGUCUUUGGACCCUGAUGACUGUAUGCAGGUUCUGAGCCUGCAAAGUGUAUCUUCACCGCCAGAGUCUCUCCUUUUUCUUGAAGUUCAGGCCUCUGUUGGUGGAGAGGAUGGUGCAGAUCACCCUGCCAGCCUUUUUCUUAAUGCUGGUUUACAAAAUGGUGUUUUAUUCAGGACUGUGGUGGAUAUGAAUGGUGGGCAGCUUUCAGAUGCACGCUCACGUUUCUUGGGGCUUAGAGCCCCUAAGCUCUUCUCCAUUGUUGUGAGAGGACGGCGUGCUAUGCUCUGCCUAUCAAGUAGACCAUGGUUAGGUUACAUACACCAAGGGCAUUUUCUUUUGACACCUUUAUCAUAUGAGAGUCUUGAAUUCGCAGCCUCGUUUUCAUCUGAUCAAUGUGCAGAAGGUGUGGUAGCGGUUGCAGGGGAUGCGUUGAGAGUCUUCACGAUAGAGAGAUUGGGUGAGACUUUCAAUGAAACAGCUAUACCCUUAAGGUAUACACCAAGAAGGUUUGUUCUUCAACCCAAAAAAAAGAUGGUGAUAAUGAUUGAGAGUGACCAGGGAGCAUAUACUGCAGAAGAACGUGAAGCUGCCAAAAAAGAGUGCUUUGAGGCAGCUGGGAAUGGUGAAAAUGGAAAUGCAGAACAAAUGGAGAAUGGUGAAGAUGAGGAUGAUAGUGAUCCACUAUCUGAUGAGCAAUAUGGUUAUCCUAAGUCGGAGUCAGGAAGAUGGGUUUCCUGCAUCAGAGUCCUUGAUCCAAGGACAAUGCAAACCACUUGUCUG
rnacentral:misc_RNA from 1 species